rnacentral:rRNA from 1 species
GACGAACGCUGGCGGCGUGCCUAACACAUGCCAGUCGAACGAAAAGGCCCGGAGUUUGUUCGGUGCUCGAGUGGCGAACGGGUGAGUAACACGUGAGUAACCUGCCCCUGACUUUGGGGUAACUUCAGGAAACUCGGGCUAAUACCGCAUAGAAUCUAUUGCUGCAUGGUGGGCAUUGGUAAGUUUCGGCGGUUGGGGAUGGAAUGGCGGCUUAUCAGCUGGAUUGUGGGGUAGUGGAUUACAAAGGCUUGGACGGGUAGCCGGCCUGAGAGGGGGACCGGGGACAUUGGUACUGAGAUACGGCGCAGACGCGUAUGGGAGGCAGCAGGGGGGAGUAUGGCAGAAUGGGGGGAAGCCAGAUGCGGCAAUGCCGCGUGCGGGAAGACGGGCUUUUGGUUGUGAACCAAUGUCGCAUGUGACGUGGCGUGAUUGACGGUACCGGGUAAAGAAGCACCGGCUAACUACGUG